UAAAUUUAGAUCUCUACAAAUUUUAUGGAAUUUAGAGAGUAAUCCUUUCUAUAGGAACGUAUAGCAGUAAAACACAGUAAAAAUGCCCACUGAUGCCGAAGAGAGCCACACCGAAACUUAGAAACUCUUUUUUCAGACAAACUUUCUCUAGGGCAACCCUUCCUCUUUAUGUUGGCGGACACAAAACCCCAACGGUGCCGACUUUUUCCCAGGACAGACAACCAUGACGAGCCUCACAGCCUGAAAAUGUUGGAAGAGGGUCCCAUGCUGCAUAACGCACUGUCAGUCCUGAAAAGUUGGGGGAGAAAAUUGCUCCCUCAUUAAGGCUCACAGUAGUUAACCGCUUCCGCAAGACUCAACGCCAGACCUUUUAAAGAGCCCAACCGCUGGGAGAAGUGGCAACUGGAAGGCACUUGUGGCAGGGGAGUGUCUGCGUGGGCGAAAUUCCCUCCGUUUCUCGCCAACACCGGAAUUAACACUGCUCUGCUCUGAAGCUUAAAAGUGUUGCAGGCGCGUGAUCUUAACCCGCUUCCUAAACUGGCCGUUCCGGGGUCGUCAGAGCCACCGGGCGGGCGGGGGCCCCGCGUGCGCCUAGAACACGGACACCGUCCCGGGCUCUGCGCCUCCGUCCUGGGUGAUAUCCAACGGCUCAUCUUUCUCAAAGAAGAGCAAGUCCAUCAGAAGGCUGUGAGCUGUGAAGAUUCGUGUUCUUUUUCUUCCCUCGCUGCCCAGGAUCAGUAUAAGGUCUCUGCCCAGCAGCCUGCCUUUUCCAAGCAGCUGUAGGCUUGUUUUCAAGCCAGAGAGAAUGUCUGCUCUCACGGAGGCCUAUUGGUUUCAUUUGCCUAAAUAGAAGUGGAUGAUGGCUGAAAUGUGGCUGAUUUUAGCAAUCAG